rnacentral:rRNA from 1 species
AUUGAACGCUAGCGGGAUGUCUUACACAUGCUAGUCGAACGGAGUGGCGAACGGGUGAGUAAUGUAUCGGAACGUGCCCAGUAGCGGGGGAUAACUACGCGAAAGCGUAGCUAAUACCGCAUACUAUUGGAGCGGCCGAUAUCGGGUUAGCUAGUUGGGGGGGUAACGUCUCACAAAGGCGACGCGCCGUAGCUGGUUUGAGAGGACGACCCGCCACACUGGGACUGAGACACGGCCCAGACUCCUACGGGAGGCAGCAGUGGGGAAUUUUGGACAAUGGGGGAAACCCUGAUCCAGCCAUCCCGCGUGGGCGAUGAAGGCCUUCGGGUUGUAAAGCACUUUUGGCAGGACAGCGUUACCUGCAGAAUAAGCACCUGCUAACUACGUGCCAGCCGCCGCGGUAAUAC